AACGGAUAAAAGCUACCCCGGGGAUAACAGGCUUAUCUCCCCCAAGAGUUCACAUCGACGGGGAGGUUUGGCACCUCGAUGUCGGCUCAUCGCAUCCUGGGGCUGUAGUCGGUCCCAAGGGUUGGGCUGUUCGCCCAUUAAAGCGGUACGCGAGCUGGGUUCAGAACGUCGUGAGACAGUUCGGUCCCUAUCCGUCGUGGGCGUAGGAAAUUUGAGAGGAGCUGUCCUUAGUACGAGAGGACCGGGAUGGACAUACCUCUGGUGUACCAGUUGUCGUGCCAACGGCAUAGCUGGGUAGCUAUGUGUGGACGGGAUAAGUGCUGAAAGCAUCUAAGCAUGAAGCCCCCCCUCAAGAUGAGAUUUCCCAACUUCGGUUAUAAGAUCCCUCAAAGAUGAUGAGGUUAAUAGGUUCGAGGUGGAAGCAUGGUGACAUGUGGAGCUGACGAAUACUAAUCGAUCGAAGACUUAAUCAA
rnacentral:rRNA from 1 species